UACAGAGGGUGCGAGCGUUGUUCGGAAUUAUUGGGCGUAAAGGGCGCGUAGGCGGUGCGGUAAGUCACCUGUGAAAUCUCCUGGCUCAACUGGGAGCUUGCAGGCGAAACUGCCGUGCUGGAGUGUGGGAGAGGUGCGUGGAAUUCCUGGUGUAGCGGUGAAAUGCGUAGAUAUCGGGAGGAACACCGGUGGCGAAGGCGGCGAUCUGGGUCGAUACUGACGCUGAGGUGCGAAAGCGUGGGGAGCAAACAGG
rnacentral:rRNA from 1 species